UACGUAGGGCGCAAGCGUUAUCCGGAAUUAUUGGGCGUAAAGAGCUCGUAGGCGGUUUGUCGCGUCUGCCGUGAAAGUCCGGGGCUCAACUCCGGAUCUGCGGUGGGUACGGGCAGACUAGAGUGAUGUAGGGGGAGACUGGAAUUCCUGGUGUAGCGGUGAAAUGCGCAGAUAUCAGGAGGAACACCGGUGGCGAAGGCGGGUCUCUGGGUAGUAACUGACGCUGAGGAACGAAAGCGUGGGUAGCGAACAGG
rnacentral:rRNA from 1 species